CCUGGUCCCAGGGAUGCCUGUCUGGGCUUUGGCGGGGAUGGGGCUGGAGGAACAGGGCGGGGGGGGGGGGGGUCUCCCAGAGUUCUGUGGGUUGGGGGGGGAACACUGGUUUAAGUUCUUGACAUGUCAGCCGGCGAGUCUCUGAGCCCAGGAAGGCCUUCCACCAGCAGGGCGGGCGGUGGCCCGUCAGUGCCGCCCUGGCUCUGGGGAGACUGGGGGACCCCUGCCCUCCCUCCUGGCUUCUCCUGGCCUAGGAGAGAGCGCUCAUUCUGUGGAGGGGGCCAGGUUUGGGAGAUUCCUGGAGGGCUGAUUCCCAGCCCUGUGUAGCUCAGGGUCCCCGUGCCCUUGGGCGACAGGAGGAGGGUGAAAGGCCCAGAUUGCACCCCGAUCCUCCAUCCUAGCCCUGGACUGACCUCUGACCCCAGCCUUGGACUGGACUGCACCGCCUCUCCCUGCCGCCCAGCCAGGCCCCGACCCCACGGCUUCCUGGCUGCCUCGGAGCUGCAGCUGGCUCCCGUCACCUGCCCCUCUCUGCACCAGCCCCAGCCAGCUGCUCGCCCCUGAUGGCUGGUGCACGAGGUGCCAGCCGCGGGCCCCGCCCAGCGCUCCCCCACCACUGUGCCAUGGCCGGCUGGGGUUCCUGGGGAUGGGAUUUGCUGCUUGUCACAAAUCACAUUGCCAGGGAUUUCCAACUGACCCUGAGCCCUACCUCUGGGGCCACCACUGCCGCCGCCACGGCCACCACCGAGGACACUGCCCAGGGAUGGGGAUGGGGUGGCAGAGAGCCCCCUCUGCCUUCGUCUGGCCUGGGGAGCAGGGCUUAGCUGCUUGUGAGCAGGGUCCACACCACGUCGUGUUCACAGUGGCUAAGUUCCGCCCCCCGGGCCCCCGCCUCCUCUGGCCCUGCCGCCUCUCCCCGCUGCUGCCCGCCCGUCCUGCACCUGCCUGGCCUCCCCGGGUCUGCCUCCCGUGCCUACUGAGCUGAAACACAGUUGAUUUGUGCAGACUGGCUCAGUUCAGCAGGAACAGGAGUCAAGCCCCCUCGGAGCCUGCAGCCCCUGCCUGCCUUGGGUGGGCUGAUGCCUGGGGAGCAGACGAGGGCCCAGACGCAGGCCUGUGUUUGGAGGGGGACUUGGGGAGGGCUGGGCGUGGGGGGGGCGGGUGGACCCAGCUGCCUGCUGCAGGCCCCCUCCCCCAACUAUGCACUUGGGGACCCUCCCCAGACCCACCUAUGGCUGGGCCGUGCUCCCAGGAAGGACUGGCAGGGGGUGAGCAGCCCUUCCAUGAAAAAAGGAAGCCAGCUGUGUCCCUGCCUGGACGACCCUCUCCGCCUGGAGCCUUGGCCCCUCCUCUCCCAUGCCUGGUGGGGGCACAGGGCAGGCCUGCCCCUUCCCAGCAGCCAGUUACCCAAGAGGAAGCUCCCUUAGGCCCCCAGACCGUUAAAUGCCAACUCCGGGCUUCCGGAACCAGGCUGGCCUGACCUAAGCGUGCCUGCCUUCUUCCCGAGUCCUGCCGCCUCCUACCUCGGGGUGGAGCUGGGACACUCUCCCGGCACGUGGGGUGAGAACGAGUCUCUGUGGGCCCAGGAAGGACACAGGCAGGCCUGCUCAGUCCUCAGGUGGCCCCAGGGCGUGGAAAGUUGGGGCUCUGUCCACUAUCAGAUGAGAUGGGGCUCUCUUCCGGAUGGGACUGGGGAAGCAGAGGGAAGCCCCCAGGCUGUCGGGGCUCGCCCAGCGUACCCUUUCCUGGUGGCAGACAGAAGCCUGGGGCCGUCUGUGCUGUGUGUCCUGCCUGCUGUCCAGUUAAAUAAAAGCUGCCUCAUUCCUGAA